UGCUCUGAUGAGACUAGAAAUAGGAAGUGCCGUCCGAGGCGAUAACUGACGACCUCCCUUCUUAGCUGAUC
ensembl:snoRNA Snord49b small nucleolar RNA, C/D box 49B